rnacentral:tRNA from 1 species
UCUCUGUUCGUAUAGUGGUUAGUAUGUGAGCUUGUCAUAUCGACAUCGCUCGAGACCGGGGUUCAAUUCCCCGACAGAGAG